CACUCCCUACGGGGGGCAGCAGUGAGGAAUAUUGGUUAAUGGGCGGAAGCCUGAACCAGCCACGUAGCGUGCAGGAUGACGGCCCUACGGGUUGUAAACUGCUUUUAUACGGGAAUAACGCGCCUUACGUGUAGGGCUUUGCAUGUACCGUAUGAAUAAGGACCGGCUAAUUCCGUGCCAGCAGCCGCGGUAAUACGGAAGGUCCGGGCGUUAUCCGGAUUUAUUGGGUUUAAAGGGUGCGCAGGCGGGCCUUUAAGCCGGCGGUGAAAUCGCGGGGCUCAACCCCGCCCCGCCGCC
rnacentral:rRNA from 1 species